AGCAGCCGCGGUAAUUCCAGCUCCAAUAGCGUAUAUUAAAGUUGUUGCAGUUAAAAAGCUCGUAGUUGAAUUUCGAGACCGGCUUACUGGUCGUGCUAUUGUACGUACUGGUAUAAUCGGUUUCUCCUUUCUGACGAACUAUAAUGCCAUUAAUUUGGUGUUAUAGGGAAUCAGGACUGUUACUUUGAAAAAAUUAGAGUGUUUAAAGCAGGCUCACGCUUGAAUACAUUAGCAUGGAAUAACGGAAUAGGACGUUUGAUUCUAUUUUGUUGGUUUCUAGGAUCGACGUAAUGAUUAAUAGGGAUAGUUGGGGGCAUUAGUAUUCAAUUGUCAGAGGUGAAAUUCUUGGACUUAUUGAAGACUAACUACUGCGAAAGCAUUUGCCAAGGAUGUUUUCAUUAAUCAAGAACGAAAGUUAGGGGAUCGAAGACGAUCAGAUACCGUCGUAGUCUUAACCAUAAACUAUGCCGACUAGGGAUCGGAUGAUGUUAAUUUUUUAAUGACUCAUUCGGCGCCUUAC
rnacentral:rRNA from 1 species